GGAGAUCCCUGCCUGCACGUGGGGCGGUCCUGGUAGACCAGAAUGUGGGUGUGGGUCCCCCUUCCCUGUGGUUCUGGGGACCUUGAGGACAUGGUCAAUCCCGGGCAAGGGACCUGCCACCCCUGUAUGGGGUCAGGAACUGCUGGUUGGUCUCUGCUGGGCAGGCAACCUGGGGUCCAGCUCAAAUCGUUGGAAUGUGGAAGUCCUUCCUCUCGCCCCGUCCUGAGGAGCAGCUGCAGGAGCUUCAUGAGUGUUUUCACUGGAACUUGUGGAGGAGUUUCCUUUGAUCCCUCAUGGAGAGACGGAAGCAUGAGGGAGCCCUCAACAUUUAUUCUGAAGAUGAAGAGAGUCCUGCAGCUUUUUGGAGUUUGUGAAGUCAGCCCGGCCCUGUACAGAUGUGGAAACCGAGGCCCAGGAAGUUUGUGAGCCAGCCCGGCCCUGUACAGGUGUGGAAACCGAGGCCCAGGAAGUUUGUGAGCCAGCCCGGCCCUGUACAGAUGUGGAAACCGAGGCCCAGGAAGUUUGUGAGCCAGCCUGGCCCUGUACAGAUGUGGAAACCGAGGCGUAGGAAGGAAGCCCUUCUCUGACCUCAGAGCUGAAAUGGCCAGUGCUGGGUGGGCAUUGAGGGGUCACACAGAAAAGAAUGUUUCAGGCCAUGUUCAGGGGAUACUUCCUGCAGGGCCCUUGGAAAGUUCCGGAGCGCUUACAUUGUCCAUGUGUGAGUGUCUCCUCUUUCUUGCCUGUGUGGGGUUUUCUCAAAUGCUUUGAGUUGGCCAAACCACAGUUGUGCGCCACUUAACAGUGCGGAUACAUUCUGAGAAAAACCUCGUUAGGUGAUGUCGUCUUGCAAACAUUAAAGAGUGCAUUUACACAAGGCUGGCAGGCACGGCCUCCUGCACCCCCAGGCUGUGUGCCCGGGUGCCAGAGCCUGGGGCUCCUGGGCUGCAGACCUGCACAGCCUGUCACAGCAUUUAAUCACAUCCAAACACGGAAAAGGCAAAAACGUAAAGAUGCAGUGUUACAAUCCUAGGGGACUCCUGUCACCUGUGUGGUCUGUUCUUGACUAUUGUGAGUCACUGACUUUUCCCCCUGGGAAACUACCUUAACUUGUCUUCAACUGAAAUUUUUUCAGCCUGCAAAGAUGAGUUGUGCCUCAGAGGUUGCUCGUGUUCUGAGGUGCCUCUUCACCACUGCCUGUCAGGCUGCUAACCAGAGUGCCCCAGACCACAGCAGAAGCGACAGCAGCCAAGGAUCGGGGGAGCCCACCCUGCUCCUGGGUAUCUUUACGGCAGGCAGCAGAGUAACAGCCUCAGACUUACCUCUUCAGCCAGAGACCCCUCAGCCCAGGAGGAGUGAGGCCGGGCCAGCAGCGGGGGCCCGGGAAGCCCCAUGUCUUGGGACCUGCUGGGGCAGGGCCCCCUGGAUGUCAGGCUGCAGGUCCGGCAGCUGGGGAGGGGAUGAGGGCCUCCCACCAGCUCUGCCCAUCAGCCAGAUCCCUGGGAGAGGCAGCACUUGCUGGCCACAGAGUCGGCCCCAGUCUCACCUGGCUCCCCUCCCCCACCAGCUGGGCCCUGCACUGCCCCAGCCCACGCGGCGCCUCACCCCUCCUUGACAGAACAGUAUCUCUGGGACGGACAAGUUAAUCCAAGACCCACAGUAGCCCUGGAUCCCCUGGGAGAGGUGGCUGCCCAGCUCCAGGGCCAGCUUGGAGGAGCCAACUUCAAAAGCCUCCGCCUGGCCUGCCCCUCUGCAGUCCUCCAGGCAGCCUGUCCAGGGAAGCGGUUGGCUGGUGUUGGACCUGGUGCGGCAGUGCACACCCUGCCCAAGGACCCCAGGAUCAUGUGCGUGGCCUGCUGGCGGGAGUGAGGGAGGGCAAGACCCUGAAAGGCCCAUGGUGAGCAGCUGUGGGCCUCCUCUAGGGAGGGGGCUUACUUGGGUGGAGGGGCUGGGGGUACACACAGCUCAGGAGACACUGCUUGUUCCCCUGAGCCCCACCAGGAAAUCUCCGGUUGGCUCUGGUCACUGCGUCCCUGUGGGUGGCACUGGGUGCAUGUGCCCUGGCUUCUGGCAGUUGGGGGAGGGGGGCUCCUGGGUGCCGGGCAACCCUGUUCUAAGCUGGGCUGAGGCUUGAGCCUGGAAGUGGUACUAACAGGCCAGUUGGGACUCCCAGGGCAGCCAGUCUGCCCCACCUGGGUGGGACACAGCAGGUGCUGGACAUCCUUGCAGCUCCAGCUGGCCUGCUCAGGAGUCAGGCUCUGGUUCUCGCUAUGACCUCUGACCCAGAGCAGGCAGAGGGAAUGACGUGGCAAUUCUGAGCCCACCAAGUUGGCUGUGGCGUGUGUGGUUGGGGGGGUCAGGUUUCAGGAAGGGGCCACAGCAAGCCAUCUGCUCUUCCAGCCAUUGCUGCUUUGUGCUCUGAGCAGGAGCUGCCACCGCCCACCAGGCCCCCAGCUCUAUGCAAGGGUUGGGGUGCUGCUUGUUCAGGCUCCCCUGACAGGGCUAGGAAGCCGAGUCGAGUCCUCUUAUCUUGGUUGGGUUCGCAUGAUUAAUUUCCAGCCCUAGAUCUGCUGUCUGACUCCAUCCUGGGGGCCCAGGGGAAGGGUUGGGGCUGGCCCCUUUUGGGUGGCUGGGAACCUGGGGGCCGUCAGCUGUCUCCUUGAUGUUUGGGCUUUAUCCCUGCGGGCGCAGGCCCUCCAUUUUGGGUCGGGGGAGGCCUGUGGCACAGGCUGCCCGGAGGGAUGGCGUGGGGCGGCUGGUACAGGCAGAGGGGCCUUUUGCGACUGUUGGUUGGGGCUGGAUGUGGUGGCUCCUUCCUCCUCUAUAGCUUCUGGGUGUCCCCCUAGCUUUCCCCUUCCAAUAGGGUGUGGCUUGGAGCUCUGAGCCCCUGCCCCAGUUGGGUUGGGGGUACAAGGAGUCCCCAGUUCCCACGUCUCUGUGAGCUAACCCAGAGGGCGCCAGUAUGGGAGGUGUGGAGUUGAAUGGGCAUGGCCAUGAGUGAGACAGGCUGUACUGGGACAACUUCCUACUGUACCCCCAAGAGCCUGCAGACCAGCCCCACUAGAGCUGUACGGGGCUGGUGGGGGGCCCUGCUCUGUGCGGUCCUGAGGGUGCUCCACCCCUUGCUGGCCCCACUCCCACGUGGACCACAGAGCCAGGCUCUCCUGACUCUGGGCCUGCCCCCUCUAUCUCCUGAUGGGUUCUUCAGGACUCAGUGACAUCGCCUCCCAGCCGACAUCACUCACCCCUUUCACAUCUUUGCAGGGAGCAUAGAACUGUCUGGUUUGCAGACCUAUCUCUUGUGUCUCCUGAUUUAUCCCGCCAGGCCUGUGCCUACAGCCUUUCUUGAUUGGUGACACGUCCAUUUCAUUCGCUCAGAGAUCCCGUGGGGUGGGGCAGGGGGUGGGGCUUCUACGGAAACAAAGUGCAGGUGGGCUGGCUGCUCCCUGUGCUGGGAACACCCCCCAGGCCUAACCCCAACCUGCUGUCUCCUCCAGGUACCCCCUAAGCCUGCACUCUGGGCGCUCCUGCUGGCGCUGCUGGGGACCGCGCCAAGCCGCGCCUAUUCCCCGGCCUGCAGCGUCCCCGACGUGCUCCGCCACUAUCGCGCCAUCAUCUUCGAGGAUCUGCAGGCCGCCGUGAAGUGGGGCGGGGCGGGGGCCGAAAAGACCAGGCCAGGCUCCAGACACUUUCAUUUCAUACAGAAAAACCUGACUAGACCCGGGAGCUCGGGACGGCGGGGACGGCCUCGGGCCUCCUGUGGCGCCCAGAAGGGCCGCCGCGCGUCCCGGGGCUCCACGGCCCUAGGCUGAAGUCGGGCUGGGUCGCGUCUCCCUUCCCGGGCCGGGCCGGGCGCGGGGGCCGUGCGCAUUCGCUGACCGCCCUGUCCCCGACAGCGGAGCCGGCGGCCCAAGAUGCGCCCUGCCCGGCGUCGCGGCGGCCGAAGGCAGCUCCUGCUGCGCGCCCUGGACGCCGUCGCCACCUGCUGGGAGAAGCUCUUCGCGCUGCGCGCCCCGGCCUCCAGGGACUCCUAGCGCGGCCCGUCCUGGCCCUGCGCGGGGAGGAGAACCAGCGGGGCCGCGGCAGAGCCUGGAGACGCGCCUCGUUCUGUAGACUUGUUGGUGACCUCGGCCCCUCGCUCGACGCAGCCCGCGCUCCCCGGAGGGCCCAGGACUUGGAGAAGGGAGCGCGCCUGGCCGCCGCUGGGUCACGGAGGAGGCCCGCCCUCCACGCGCCGAAGGCCUCAAUAAACGGAGCUGGCGCUGCGGGUCCGGCACUCCCUUCGCCUGCCUCUCUGUGGGCCUAGGACCGCCCCGGGAUCUGCGCCUCGGUGGCGGGGGGCGGUGGAGGGGGAAUGCGGAGACCCGCACUUCCUGUGGCACCUGGACGGGGCGGAGCCGCCGCUCCCAGCCUCGGGCAGCAGAGGGCGGACGCGGGACGCUGGGCGCGCUCCGGCUCUGUCAGCGGCUCCCGGCUGGGCGGAGGGCAGAGCGGGGGACUCCUGGGGCCCCUAAAACGUCACGUAUCCGUCCUGCUCCACUUUGGACCGGGGCCGGGGGUGGAAAUUGAGGGGAGGGGAAGGCUGGACUUGGUGAAUUCGGAGCAAAACAACCGGAUAAAGGAAACGGGCCCGAAGGGAAGCGGGAGCUGCGGGCCUUGGCUGUGAGCUUGGCCAGGCUAUUUCCUGCUGCCUCCGGAGGGGUGACCACGGCCUGGGCUCAGAGACUGCCCAGCCCCCUCUGCAGGACUGGCCAGGCUGGGGCCCGCUUUCUGGCCCCUGGAACCCUCCAUUUGCUGGGGGACUGUCCCCUGGUUCCCCCAUCUGAUGCGCAGGUCUGGGAGUCUGUCACCCCCCUCCCCCAAUCUCGGCCCAUGGAGGAGCAGGGGAGGUAAAGUACCUGACACCUGUUACCCUCCCCUUCCCGGAAAGGCCGCGAGCAGGCUGUGCCUCUGGCAUUCUGUGGGAUCAGGGGCAGCAGCAGAAGAAAGAAGUAACCUCCCAAGCUGACCCUGACCCAGCCCCACACUCUGUGUUAAUGUAUUUAGUCUGUGCAACGGGAGCUACUGUCUCUGUUUUAUAGAUGGGGAAACUGAAGCACGAGGAGGCUGAGACUUGCCCCAAAUCACAGCCAGCAAUGUAAGAGCUGGCCUCAGACCCAGGCCCAGGGCAUGGGAUCUGCCACAUGUCCCCUGCCUGGAGGCUGGGGGCCAAGCUUCCUGGACUUCAGAGCCUUGGA
rnacentral:lncRNA from 1 species